GAGCUUGCCCAUAGUAAAAGGAGAAAUAAAUUAACUUCAAAGCAAAUAUGCUUAGGCUUCUCUAGGCUGGAGAAUAUUUGAGCUCACUUACAGUUGAAAGAAAAAGAAGAGGCAAGAUUGAAGCUAGGGGAGAGGGAGAAGGAGAUAGACCCUGAAAGAUGAGGGGGUACACAGGGAUAAAGGCCCAAGGGACAUGAGGUGAGGAUGACAGAGGACCCAAAGGCAAUGCAAAAGAGAAGUGAUCACGGAGGCACAAUCACCUGCCACUCGGUGUGUGGAGAGCAGGGAGAAGAUUAAGGGGAUGGAGGAGAAUGGAAGAGGUUUACUUACAACAGCUGCUGUGGGGAAUUAGGAAAUCAAUUAACAAUAAGUGAAGGGAUUGUAAAGAGGCUCCAAGGGAGGGCCCAGCUGCCACAGAGGAACAGGAAUUGACCCCACUGUCAGUUAAUUUAUUAGCUACAGCUAAAGAGAAAUAUGUGGCCUGGAUCCGUCCAAUGCAUA
rnacentral:lncRNA from 1 species